CUGUGAGUGUGUGGUUGGCUACCGAGAAGAAAAGCUGUUGAUUGAGUGCAGCGUUGAUAACUCUAAGGAGGCUUAGAGAAUGGAUAGGAUUCCCCUGCCCUUGGGUGGAUGAUAAGAGCUCCAUAGACAGUUGCCCUAAGCCAUGAGCUGUGGGCAUGCCACCAAAGUGUUCCUUCCUGACCGUUAACUGUAAAUCUCAUUUGCCAAAGAAAAUGCAUUUGCAUAGAGAACCAGAAGGCCAAUGAACAAGAAAGGGCAGAGCGGUUUAGCAAUGCUGUGGCUGAAUGCUUCCAUGUCGCACUUCGGGGUUUAUCAGGUAAUGAUAGAUGUUUUAUGGUUUUACUUGGUGAAGAGAAAGAGUAGCAAUGCCAUUCUUUUAUACUGGGGGAUGAGGUUGGUAGAUUUGGUUUCAGCAUGAUUGUCAGCUUAAAGGGCAUACUUAGUUCAACCCUAUAGGAGUUGGUGCAUCCACUAACCUAUCAAACUGCUAAAUUCUCAUAAUACUUUGCUUCCUUAGACUUUUCUUGAGCAUGUUUUUCUAUGCAUAAGCAUCAUUAGAUUUUGCUUCACAUUUCACCUUUCAAUUAUUCCUUGUAACUGAAAGUUCAUUGUUUUGCAUAAUAGUUUGGUGGUCUACUAACCAGAUUAAUGUGGUGGGAAGGUUGAAGAAACAAUAUGAAAGGGCUAGGAAAAUGGGUAUAUGCUUUUUUCUGGAGUUGUUAAUCUUUACUGUGCUGGGUAUUUAUACGGUUUGAUAUUUUCUUGGCUGGCCUUCGUUCACUCCUGAUAGAAGAUUGUAUAUUUGUAUUGGUGUUGUUUUGUCACGUUUCUUGUAGUCAUUUCGUGUUUCUU